rnacentral:lncRNA from 1 species
UCAAAUUCACUUCGUUGCACAAGUACAUUCACUGUGUGUUGGGUAAAGCCGUAGAAAUACAAGUGAUAUGUAAUUGAGAUUAUAAGCAUAAAGAAAUCUAUUAGGAAAUGGAAGAAUUAUCAAUAGCAGGGAUCGGGGAUGCUGUUUGGUUAGAUGUCUUCCAGCGGUCUUGUAGGUGGUACCAUCGGAGGAACAUUUGAUGGACAAUUUUCCAUUGCUGCUAACUAUGAAGCUUGAUUCCCCUGUUUUUACAUCCCCGGUGAUUACCAUUCUCAUGCCAGCAGCAAUCGUCAUUGCACAAAAAGUAGAAGCACCAACUCCCUUUGUUAGACUUGCUUUAAUAUAUCUAAUGCUUUGGUUGGUUGAGUAUGGGUUGGCCUAUUGCUUGAUUUAAUGUAUCUAAUGCUUUGCAGCCUACGAGAUCCCACUCGAUUGCCC